UCCCAGUGAUAAUAGCUACCACCUAGGAUCAAAUUAUUCUGUGUGUUUGCAUGCACAAAUAUUGGUCAAGUAUUAUUUCCCUUUUUAGACAUGGCAUAAGAAGACCAGAGAGGUCAAAUGGCUUAACCAAGAUCAUGUAGAAGACAAAGGCUUUGAAACCAGGCUUGAGUGUUGUCCAUGACCUCUGCUCUUAACUGCAAGGUUAAGGCAUUUGUGGAAGCCCCUGCCCUGUGCUGACCACAGAGUAAGGUGUUUAAUGCUGUGGGGUUCUCUACUGAAAAAGCAGGAGGAUCCUUGGGUCCACUACUGGGUAGGCCCCAGCAGGAGAUUGAAGACCAUUUCUUCAGGUUUCCAGACUGUCAAUGCUCAGGUGUUCCUGGGUUAGGAAUGAAAAAGGAUAGAAGAGAUUGUGAGUUUGGACUUCUUGGAAAUGAUCUGUGAUGUAGCAGCCUCUGUAGACUGAAGUACGUAUUUUGAGCUUUUGUGUCCGCCGGCAAGAAAGACGCAACAAACCGGAAUCUUCUGCGGCAAAAGCUUUAUUGCUUACUUCUUCAGGAGCAAGAGAGAAAAAAUGGCAAAACCCCGUCCCUUUUAAGGAGAAUUAUCCUCCGCCUAGGACGUGCCGCUCCCUGAUUGGCUGCAGCCCAUUGGCCGAGUUGUCGUCACUGGGAAGGCAGAGCACAUGGAGUGAAGAACUACUCCUGGCACAUGCGCAGAUUAUUUGUUUACCACUUAGAACACAGGAUGUCAGCGCCAUCUUGUAACGGCGAAUGUGAGGGCGGCUCCCCACAAGUAUGCAUUGCCCCCUGCAGGUAAAGAAGUCUGUGGAGAAAGCUUCAUCUGGAAAGAGCUCUGCUUUCUCACUCAUCCUCCAUGUUCUACAGCCUUGUUUUAAAUGAUUCCUUCCACCUCUAUCAUGGAUUUAACCACCAUCCUGUCAUUACAACAUCUUCAUAUCAAGGAUGCAGUUCAUUUCCAUUGCCUGUGUACCCAGUCCUGGCUACAAGCUGUGUUCCUGUACCCAACCUCAUACAAAUUCAAACUAUGGGCAAUGUGAUUGGUUACCAGCCUCAGGUCUGUCUGUUGGAGACCAGCUCAAAGUCCAGCCGAGGACUAAGGUGAAGUGAAACUGUUGUGGGGAGCCAGGCUAAACCACUGUCUCCUAUAUAGCUGACUAGCAAGGAGGCUCCCCAUCAACAAUGAAAGUGAAGAUUAGAACCUACUGGUUAUACCAUAUAUGCGUGGAAGGGACCAGGCCUCUUCAACUGGCUGAGGUUGGCAAAGGAAGAAAGCUGACUGGAGAAUCACUAAGCACUCUGCAGAUCUCCUCCACAGCUCAGACUUUCCCCGAUACCCUCUGGGAACCUGGCGAGGGAACCACUCUGCUUAUAGAUGUUUAAGUCAUUCUUGUGGAUGUGCCCAGAGUCCACAAAGAGAUUGGCGGCAUCUGACACAAGCAACAGCAAAGUUAACUCAGAGGUCAUUGUGUCUGCUGCCUCUGGCAGGAAUUUCUUAGGGCUUUUCUGGUGAUAUGACACCCCAGGUUAUGAGCGUCUUCGUAUCAAUGGUCACUUGUGACGAAGUACUAUCCUCUGGCUCCAGCCAUCAUCCAUCUCUGAGUAAUUCUCACCUACAGCUGAGGGGUCUGUCCUCUGGAACUACAGUGAUGUAGGUGCCUCUGCUCAGAGCCACCAGUGAUGACAGCUUUAUCCAAGAUGAAAUCCUCCACACUUGAGAGGUACGAUAGUGUGUAUUGCAUUAGGCAUCAGAAAGACUUAGCUUUAAACCUUACCUCAACAACUUAUUCACUCUGUGAUUGAGAAACUCAGCCUCUCUGAGCCACAGUAUAGCCAUCCAUAAAAUGAGUACACUUUUUUGGCAUUGUGAGGCUGUAACACAUAGAAAAACCAUUGCCAAU